rnacentral:rRNA from 1 species
GAUGAACGCUGGCGGCGUGCCUAAUACAUGCAAGUCGAGCGAACAGACGAGGAGCUUGCUCCUCUGACGUUAGCGGCGGACGGGUGAGUAACACGUGGAUAACCUACCUAUAAGACUGGGAUAACUUCGGGAAACCGGAGCUAAUACCGGAUAAUAUAUUGAACCGCAUGGUUCAAUAGUGAAAGACGGUUUUGCUGUCACUUAUAGAUGGAUCCGCGCCGCAUUAGCUAGUUGGUAAGGUAACGGCUUACCAAGGCAACGAUGCGUAGCCGACCUGAGAGGGUGAUCGGCCACACUGGAACUGAGACACGGUCCAGACUCCUACGGGAGGCAGCAGUAGGGAAUCUUCCGCAAUGGGCGAAAGCCUGACGGAGCAACGCCGCGUGAGUGAGGAAGGUCUGCGGAUCGUAAAACUCUGUUAUUAGGGAAGAACAAAUGUGUAAGUAACUAUGCACGUCUUGACGGUACCUAAUCAGAAAGCCACGGCUAACUACGU